AGGUGCGAUCAUACCAGCACUAAUGCACCGAAUCGCAUGAGAACUCCGCAGUUAGGUGUGCUUGGGAGAGAGUAGUAGAAGGAUGGGUGACCUCCUGGGAAGUCCUCGUUUUUCACCUC
rfam:Lupinus angustifolius cultivar Tanjil contig_1835, whole genome shotgun sequence.